UACGGGGGGGGCAAGCGUUGUUCGGAAUUACUGGGCGUAAAGGGCUCGUAGGCGGCCAACUAAGUCAUACGUGAAAUCCCUCGGCUUAACCGGGGAACUGCGUCUGAUACUGGAUGGCUUGAGUUCGGGAGAGGGAUGCGGAAUUCCAGGUGUAGCGGUGAAAUGCGUAGAUAUCCGGAGGAACACCGGUGGCGAAGGCGGCAUCCUGGACCGGCACUGACGCUGAGGAGCGAAAGCCAGGGGAGCAAACAGG
rnacentral:rRNA from 1 species